AGUGAACGCUGGCGGCGUGCUAAACACAUGCAAGUCGAACGAGAACGGAUUAUAGCUUGCUAUAAUUGUCAGCUAAGUGGCGCACGGGUGAGUAAUGUAUAGGUAAUAUGCCUCUUACUAAGGGAUAACAAUUGGAAACGAUUGCUAAUACCUUAUACUCCUUAUUAACAGAAGUUAAUAAGGGAAAGAUUUAUUGGUAAGAGAUUAGCCUGUAUUGUAUCAGUUAGUUGGUGGGGUAAUGGCUUACCAAGACUAUGACACAUAACUGGUUUGAGAGGAUGAUCAGUCACACUGGAACUGAGACACGGUCCAGACUCCUACGGGAGGCAGCAGUGGGGAAUAUUGCACAAUGGACGAAAGUCUGAUGCAGCAACGCCGCGUGGAGGAUGACACAUUUCGGUGCGUAAACUCCUUUUAUAUGAGAAGAUAAUGACGGUAUUAUAUGAAUAAGCACCGGCUAACUCCGUGCCAGCCGCCGCAGUAA
rnacentral:rRNA from 1 species